AUGUGGCCAAGAGCAGGAAGCCCGUGAUUCCAACCCGCAGGAGUUGAUUGUGUGCAGUAUAUUUCGAUGUAGAUCGAUGCAUCUGCCGAACUCCUAGUCAAAACAAUGGUUGCCACCUUUAUGUUUCCCAGGCAUGGCCAAUUAAAGUGAACAUAUGCUUGUGUUUUAUGAUAAUGUGGAAACUGUACUUGUUAUGAUCCUUUGCCAUCCAACUGUUAUGAGCAGGGUCGAUCCAGUAACAUGUUCUGCACGAGUCGAAAUCAUCAAUGACGUUGCUAUCCCUGCGACUCGUGUCCAUCAUCUUCGAUACUGUUAAUCAAGAUGUUACUCCCUCAUUUCAAGGCGGUGGAGGACCACAUCAAGGUUGAUUUUUUGUUUUUUCCCGAUAUGUUGGUUGAUUGAUUUUGGGGGAAGGAGAUCCAUUUCAUCAGGUUGAACUAGCAUGCUAAAAUUGCUAGAGACCUCUUGUUUA
rnacentral:lncRNA from 1 species